CGUGUAGGCGGUUUGUCUAGUCAGGCGUGAAAGCCCCGGGCUUAACCUGGGAACUGCGUUUGAUACUGACAGGCUAGAGGUUGGGAGAGGAGAGUGGAAUUCCCAGUGUAGAGGUGAAAUUCGUAGAUAUUGGGAAGAACACCAGUGGCGAAGGCGGCUCUCUGGUCCACACCUGACGCUGAGGCGCGAAAGCGUGGGGAGCAAACAGGAUUAGAUACCCUGGUAGUCC
rnacentral:rRNA from 1 species